rnacentral:rRNA from 1 species
CAGUAGCCGCGGUAAUACGUAGGGUGCGAGCGUUAAUCGGAAUUACUGGGCGCAAAGCGUGCGCAGGCGGUUGUGUAAGACAGGUGUGAAAUCCCCGGGCUUAACCUGGGAACUGCGCUUGUGACUGCACAGCUAGAGUAUGGCAGAGGGGGGUGGAAUUCCACGUGUAGCAGUGAAAUGCGUAGAGAUGUGGAGGAACACCGAUGGCGAAGGCAGCCCCCUGGGCCAAUACUGACGCUCAUGCACGAAAGCGUGGGGAGCAAACAGGAUUAGAUACCCCGGUAGUCCCUGUCUCUUAUAA